UCUAACUACACACUUCUCUUUGUUCCUAUCAAAACCUGGGGAAUUUGUGAAGUUGGUAAUCUCAGAGGUUAUUAAUAAGAUGAAGAAGAAUCGAUUAUGAUUCCUAUGCUUUUAUUGUACCUCCCGUUUCUUAUCAAACAUGAUACGAAAUACAAUUCAUCGGGUACAAAGUCUUCAAGGUCCAUGAGUUACAUCUUUCUGGUUGUGGUUUUCAAACAUUUCAUUAAUUAAAUUAUAGAAAUCUUACUUCUCUAAUGAACUCUUUUUCUUGAAGGCCGGUUGACUUCUCCGAUGUUCCAUAUUCAUCUAAGGUAAUAUAAGCUUUCAUCAUAAGUGUUAAGUUUAUUUCUUAUAUAUGCAUGCUACAAUCUAUGUAAGUUGUAAACUUAUUAUUCAUUUUGAAGUAUAAAUUUUGAAUUAUGAAUUCA